ACUCGGUCGGAUCCCUGCAGGCGGCUCCGUUUCCUCCAGGCAGGAAUUCUGCUCUGCCAUCGCCCCGGACGGGGAAGGGGAGGGACUCCUGGCCUGGAGCAGCAGGGAGGAGGAAGGCUUACAGCAGAAGUCCUGCCUCGGUUCUGUGUUGAUCGUCAUCUCUGCCGGAGACGCGACGGCAGGGCCAGGCUGGGGGCAGAGGGUGGCAACCAGAGCAGGGGGGGCUUCAUUUCUGGAGCAAAUGACGAGAAGAUUCCUGUGUGCAUUCUGCAGCUUCGGGGAAGGUUUGCCAGCAUGCAGCAGCAAGGCGGGGAAAGGAAAGAAGGAAAGCCAGAGCCACCAGCAGUGAAGGCAGAUGGGAGCCAAGGCAUGGACCGAAGGUGGGCAUGGGCAGCGGUGCUGCACUUCUUCCUGGUCAAUGUGUUCGUGAUGGGAAUGCUGAAAACCUUUGGCAUUUUCUUCGUGGCUUUCCAGGAGGAUGUGGGGGGCUCCUCAGAGCAGAUCAGCUGGAUCGGCUCCAUCAUGUCCUCACUGCGCUUCCUAGGAGCCCCACUGGUGGCCGUGGUCUGCAGGCGGAUCGGUGAGCGGCCGACCUCCAUCCUCGGGGCUGGGCUGGUCAGUGGGGGCUGCCUGCUCAGCACACAGGCCACCAGUGUCCCCUUCCUUUGUGUCUCCAUGGGACUCCUGCUGGGCAUGGGGUUCUGCUGCCUAUACCAGGCAGCAGCAGUGAUGACGGCCAAGCGCUGCAGGACCCGGCUGGCUUUCUCCAAUGCCAUUGCACGCUCAGGGAUGGGCCUCACCUUCCUGACUGCACCCUUCACGCAGCUGCUCAUCGAUACCUAUGGCUGGCAGGGUACUCUCCUGGUUUUCAGUGGCAUCAUGCUGAACCUCGUGCCUUCCAGCAUGCUGCUGCGCCCCGUCCCCACCCAGCUGCCUCCCUGCCCCCCAGCCAGCAAUGAGGAUGGGAGCUCAGUGCCCAAAGGAGAAGCAGGAGCCCUCGAGGAAGCCACUGAUGGAGCAGCACAGCCAUGCAGUGCUCAGGACCUUCCCAGCACAGAGCCCUGCAGCACUGGUGCAGUAACCACAGCAGCACCAGGGAAAGCCUCCACUGCCAGCUGCUGCCCUGAAACCAUCAGCGAGGCCACAAAGAGCUGCAGCUCCCUCCCGGCGCUCAAAGAGGAGAAACCACAGCCUCUCAUUGACUUCUCCCCCCUAAAGGAUCCCCUCUUCUUCAUUUUCACCUGGUCCUUCUUGUUCAGCCACCUGGCCUACUUCGUGCCCACCAUCCACCUGGUAGCCAGAGCCAGGACGUUGGGCAUAAGCAGCAUGGAUGCCUCCUACUUCAUCUCAGUGGCCGGCAUCACCGAGACGGGCAGCCAGCUGCUCUCAGGAUGGAUUGCAGACCAGAACUGGACCAAGAAGUACCAUUACCACGCAGCUUACCUGGUGCUCUGUGGUGUCACCAACCUGCUCUGCCCCCUGGCCACCACCUUCCCUCUGCUCAUGACCUACGCUGUGGCCUUCGCCAUCUUCUGCGGUGGAUUCCUGGCUCUGGUGCUCCCUGUGCUGGUCGACCUGGUCGGCGUGCAAAAACUCCACAGCUAUUUGGGCUUUGCUUCCUUCUUUGCUGGGAUAGCAGCUGUUGGCGGACCUCCUCUCGCAGGUAAUGUAAACCUUUCACAUCUCACAUACCCACCACCAGCAUCCAGUAGUAAAACCUUCUUCUGGAUCAGCCUCCUACCCGUACACAUCCACGGAUGGCUUUUCUGUCCAAGCAGAUAAAACACAACACGUUUGAGAACCGUCAGCUUUGUGCACAGGAAACAGUUUUGCUCAUGAAUGUACAGUGUGACAGCUGCAUGGGAAAGGAGCUCAGCACCCACAGCACAGCAGCACUGACUUCACUACCGUUGGGUUUGACCACGAUCAGGGCACUGUUAAUACUGAACCAGAAACAGAGGGACUGAAGGAAGACAGCCCUGCGUCAGUGCUCCGUGACACCACCUCUGUGCUGCAGAGCUCCAGCAGCCCUGCCAUGCUGCAGGCACGAGAAAGAUUGAUUUCCCUAAUCAGUAUCUCUAGGUUGGCCAAACUCUGGGUAUGGAUGCAAUUUGGAGCAGCUAAAGCGUUUCAUUGACAGCAUGCUUUACUCUGUCACAGUGAUCCAUAGCCCGAGCUGGAGAAGAUCUCUUCUGCUGAUACAAGAUGUACGUCCAGCAGAAAGCAAUACCUGCAAAACCAGCGCAGGAAAUUUUCUGACAGAAUAACAUACGGUGUGAAAAGAGCUAAGUAAGUUGGCUCUCCUUCAUCCAUGCAUCAUGCAGUGGUUAUGCUUUCCCUCUGCUUCCAAUCUAUUUUCGCUAAUUGGAAGCCUUCUGCUUCCUGACGAUGCGAGGAUGGGUCUGGGUUUUGCAAAGCAAGCAGGCUUUCGGUGAGAAGCCCCAUACAGAGAUCAGCCUUCUCCAACCAGAUGGGAUAAAUCGAGGCCCAACAAAGCCAAGGAGUCGCACUGAUCCACCUCACUGCAAGGAGGGCGAGAGGGAAAUGAGUCACAGCUCGGAUCCAGGUUUGUGGCACACCACAGUUUUCCUUUUGCUGUAGUUUUCCCAUGCUUUCUACUGCAAUGCCCUGACACUGCCAUAGGAAACAUGAAAACCAGUUGGGACUACCUGCUAACUCCCUGUUUCCAACAGCAGCUGCUCCUUGCAGAACACACAACAGGACUGAAGUGCUAAGAAAGACCUUGGGGGUUUCAGUGCAUCCCACUGCUGCUGACCUCCCUGAAAUGCUGACCCCAAAAGCUCAGCUUGCAUCGUUUUUGCAGUGGAAGCCACAACAUGAGGGAGACACAGGUUAUAAAUGCUUAUUGUGCACAGCAGAGCAAAGCCUGAUCACAGUGCAAUGAAGAGGUGACUUACGUGCAAAUCUGUUUAACUGCAAGCCCUUAAGCCAGGGCUGAGGCUCCUCAUAGCUGGGUGCUCCUGCACUCCUGAACAGCAGAACAAGGCAGAACAAACAUCAUUUUGGCAAGCUACAAGAGAGCCAAGGAGAAGGCACAACCUAUUUCCUGAGGAGGAGAAAUCAGUAACAAACUGCAAAAGGGGAAAAAAACAAACCAUCACCAAACAAGCGAUGUAAUUCAAGACCACAAAACUGAUUCCAGCAGGCAGCACACAGCAACUCCAGCUCCAACAAACGUGGGAGGUAAAGGAGGAGAGGAAGGAGUCAUCUGAAAGCAGCAUUGGCACAGGGAUUUAAAUGCUCUCACCUCCAGCAUGGCUGCCUUUGUGCUAGGCAUUGCUGUUAGGAAAUGUGCAGCAAACAAAACCCAGAGGCGCCAGGCCCCUCACAGAGAAGCUCUGCAAUUCCAACAACCCAACCAGCUUGCAGAACCAUCACUCUGCUGUGUGUUGCAGGCACUCAGCUCCCUGCAGCAGGAUUUGGCCCUUCUUGCUCAGGGAGAGGCACACAGGCUCUGAAAGGACGUGCUGUGCUCAGAGCAUCACCUGCAUGGCACUGCCAGCCAGGAGGGGACACUGAGGCUUCAGCAGAGCUUCUGUAUAUUAAAAAACAACCAGAAAAAUCCCGCUUUUAGAAUGAUCACGAAGAUUUUAAAAGUAAUAAUAAAAAGAUUCAGAGCUUAUCACAGCUGGAAUGCUGUGCUCUGGAUGUCUGCGUUGUACGGUUGACAACGCCAGCAUCCCUGGUCUGCAUCCCAUAGAUCUUCAAAGAGCAGAAGCUGACCCCACCUCUGAUGACAGCCCAUCCUGCACAACGCAGGGGGAGCACGUGGAACAUCCUCCCCACUGCACUUCCCUGGGCUCUGCCCUCUGGAAAGGCACUCCUGGGCUCAAGCAAUAUCCCUGAGAAAAAGCAAAAACAACAGAGCUGAGAUCUGGCAAAGGCAUGGGAUAAGUGAAACUGAAAGCUGGUGAGCCCACAGGGCACUGUGCAAGACCUCCUUUCCCCAAAGCCCUCCGUGGCUCUGCAAAUGCCAGCAAGGAAAGCGUUGGCAUCUGUCCCCUUUGGUCACCCCAUACUGAGCAGCACUGCUUCCUUCCCCACAAUUCCACAGGGUGGCUGUACGACUACACGCAGACUUACGCCUGCUCGUUCCUCUUUGCUGGUGCCUGUGCUCUGCUCU